rnacentral:tRNA from 1 species
GUCCCUGUAGUUCAAUGGAUAGAACGGCCCCCUCCUAAGGGGCAGGUACAGGUUCGAUUCCUGUCGGGGGCACCA